CAGGAGCUCUGGGCUGUAAUGUGCUAUGUCUAUCAGGUGUCUGCGCUAAAUUUGGCAUCAGUGUGGUGGGCCCUGAGAAGUGGCGGACCACGGGUUGCUGAAGGAGGAGUGAAUAGGCUUAGGUUGGAAAGGGAGCAGUCAAAACACCCCUGCUGAUUAGUACUAGGAUUGCACCUGUGAAUCACCACUGCACCCCAGCCUG
rnacentral:sRNA from 1 species